GGAAAAACAACGUCAGGUGUCAGGUCUCAUACAAUUAGGCAUCAGACGAAACGGACUCAGACAAAAAGGCAUCAGACGAAACGGACUGAGACAAAAAGGCAUCAGACGAAACGGACUCAGACAAAAAGGCAUCAGACGAAACGGACUCAGACAAAAAAAGGCAUCAGACGAAACGGACUCAGACAAAAAAAGGCAUCAGACGAAACGGACUCAGACAAAAAGGCAUCAGACGAAACGGACUCAGGAAAAAAAGGCAUCAGACGAAACGGACUCAGACAAAAAGGCAUCAGACGAAACGGACUCAGGAAAAAAAGGCAUCAGACGAAACGGACUCAGGUGGAGUAUCGCGUUGCCCCGCCCCAGGUGACGUCACACGCACGCGGUUCAGAGGAAGUGGUAUAUAACGGUUGAUUGAUGGCAAAAGGAGUGAAAGGCGUCUGAGAAGAUUAAUAAAAUCAAGUGAGCCACAGAGAUGGCAUCGUCCAAGAGCACAGGGAGUACAUCCAGAGGCAGUGAGUGAACUUCUUGUCCUGAAACCAAAAUCAGUUGGGAAUACUGGAAUCAAGUCUACCCUACACAAGGCUUACACAGGUCCCCUUCCAGAUGCUGAUGUCUUGGCUUCUGGUGCAAAACUAAGUCAGAUUAAUCCCAAGCCUUUGCUGGCACACAUACUUGAUGGCAUGUCAAAAGUAGAGUUGGUCCCCUCACAAUUCAGUCCUGUACCUCAUGGCAAUCCACUUUCAUACCAAUGUCUCCCUAUAGCUGCAGGUGUUCCUGAUGUUAAUUUUCCCCCACUACCUGUGCUUGGUUAUCAGUUUGGCUGUAAUUUUAAAUUUGUGCCCACACACCAUCAAGCACUUCAUCUGGAGUCUAUAAAGGUUACCCAUAGUUCAGCUUGCCAGAUUGAAGAGGC
ensembl:lncRNA